AUAAAAAUGCAGUAUUGUAAACAUUGUAACUUGAUGUUGUACCUUUCAGAGCUUAGUGCCCAGGAUCAUGUUUUCUUAAAUCUGGAACAUGCAAAUUCAGCUAGAAUAGAUGAAGCUAUAUCCACACCCAUUCCAAGAGAAGGCAAAAAGUAUGCAUUACCGGAAUCUGUGCUGGAGGAAAAGGCAUUUGUUUCAAGCCCAAAGGUAGAUCCUAAAAACAAUAAAGAUAUUAAUCCAUGUGACAGCAAGUUUACAGUGAAAGGCUUGGGGAUGCUUUCUACAUGGUGUAACUUAUGCCUGGUUCAGGCAGAAAAUACUCUUCAAGAAACUGGUGAAAGCACAUCACCUGUAGUGGAAGAGCUAGAGGAUGAUUCUCUAACAGUGGAGAAAGUGCGCAGGAAGCAGAGAAGUCAUGAAACUCGAGAAGAGCAGGACUCUGGCAGUCCAUUUCAGGCAUGUGGAAAGCUUGUAAUUUUAUAUGAACUGUUUGUUUUUUCAUGUAAAUAUUCAACAAAAGAAA
rnacentral:lncRNA from 1 species